UAAAGCUGAUUAUAUAUCACGUGUUUGAUGAAUGACUGGGAUUCUCAACAGAACGCAAGAAAUGAAAGUGGAGGUAAUCAUCAUAUUUUGCCUGUUCACCAUUCUUGUGGUCGGAUUUGUAGAAGGGAGGAUUACUUGCGGCGCAUUUUCUUAUGAACACGACGGAUGCACCGACCCUUUCAACUUACCUUUCAAACGACGAUUUCAACAAGCAUGUGAUCAACAUGAUCUCUGCUAUACAUGUGCAUAUUCACUUGGAAUGUCAAGGUCAUGGUGCGAUGAAUUAUUUCUCAGAAAUAUGAAGGAUGACUGUCGUAAUUUUGCCUUGCGUGUAUUUAAAUUAACUAGAUUUUCUGUUUCACAGUUGAACCUCCCGAAUUGCACUGCAAACGCAAAUAAUUACUACAAUGGGGCGAGAUUAUUUGGUGCUUCGCAUUAUUCAACAAGUUCAAAGAGUUGGUGCUUAGGCCAGGGGGUUUCGACAUGUAUCCAUAGUAUCUAUGUGCGUACGAUGUAUAGGGGAUCCUGAAAUAUAUACCCAGACUGGGCCCAUAAAUAGCAAACUAAAUGGCUUCGACAAUCGAUGGAUGGAGAAAAGAACAAAAAACGAUGUUGAUUGUACGAACUCUCAAGUGCAUGUCGCAUGCUUCUUUUUGGACUACAUUUAUAUAUUAUUGCAUGUUUGUAUUCAUACGCCAAUAGACAUAAUUAACCAGUCACCCUUCACAGUUGAAGGGGGUUGUUUCUUAACAAUUUGUUUCUAAAAAUAGUCGGAAGUAUGAACCGUUCGAAUUGCAUAGCAAGCGCACAUGUGUAUUGUACUACGGCGUGGCUAGAGGGUUUGGUGCUUUGCGUUUUAUAACAAGUUCAAAUAAUUGGUGCUCAUCGCAGCAGGUUUUGGAAUGUAUGCAUGACUAAGGUCUAUCCAUUUUUUAUAUUCAUAUUUCUGGUGGAGUCUGUGAUUUGGUCUUUUACUGAUGUUAUGAAUAAAAAGGAAGUUGACCGUCAACUGGAUAUGAAUAUGAAUAUUGCCGCUAGGAUAUAUAUUAUUAUGUAUUACUGUUGGUUUUGGGAUAUAAAACUGUUAUAGCUUA